GAUGGUCGCAUGAUGAUUUAUAAGCAUAGUUCAGAUGAUAAUCACUGUGAUUAAUCACAAUUUUUUUAGUCUUUCGCUCCUAUCUGACGACCAAC